GACGUAGGGCGCGAGCGUUGUCCGGAUUUAUUGGGCGUAAAGAGCUCGUAGGCGGCUUGUCGCGUCGUCCGUGAAAACUUGGGGCUCAACCCCAAGCUUGCGGUCGAUACGGGCAGGCUAGAGUUCGGUAGGGGAGACUGGAAUUCCUGGUGUAGCGGUGAAAUGCGCAGAUAUCAGGAGGAACACCGGUGGCGAAGGCGGGUCUCUGGGCCGAUACUGACUCUGAGGAGCGAAAGCGUGGGGAGCGAACAGG
rnacentral:rRNA from 1 species